UACGGGGGGAGCAAGCGUUGUUCGGAUUUACUGGGCGUAAAGGGCGCGUAGGCGGCCACCGCAAGUCGACUGUGAAAUCUCCGGGCUUAACCCGGAAAGGUCAGCCGAUACUGCGGGGCUAGAGUGCAGAAGGGGCAACUGGAAUUCUCGGUGUAGCGGUGAAAUGCGUAGAUAUCGAGAGGAACACCGGUGGCGAAGGCGGCAUCCUGGACCGGUAUUGACGCUGAGGCGCGAAAGCCAGGGGAGCAAACGGG
rnacentral:rRNA from 1 species